GAAAACGCUGCCCUGGACGCCAUUUCCUCUUGUAUCCCCUCUUUACCCUCCACAUACCCAAUUUUCUGUGUUUCCCCUUUACUGACUCAAAUUAAUGUCUUGGAUUUACUCUGGCCCCUAAUCCUAAUGUUCUGGGAAAUGAAAAUAAAUGAUCUGGAAGCCUCAGCUACUGGACAACCUUCUCUGGAAGUUGGAUAUCGUAAAGGCCUUGCACCUGAAGUGAGCUAAAUUCACCUUGCCUUGUCUACUGAGGGGAAGGAAAAGGGAAAUCACACCCUAGAGCUCGGUGAGCCCAUAAAAUGGCAGGGAUUCCUGGAGAAGGCUGCCCUGAACCCCAAGGCCCUGGCUGCCGGCGCUAUAAUGAAAUGCAUGACUACGGAAGACAAUAAUAAUUGCAGCAACGGCUCAUUCCAGCUCCCGGAUGAUUUGGUGCUGUCAGGAGUGUGCUGUCCUCUGACAUCCCAGGAGGCGAACGGCACCAGUGACUGCAGGCCCUGAUUGGGGCAGUGAAAUAUUGCUGGCA